CCGGCGACCGGCGCACGGGUGAGUAACACGUAUGCAACCUGCCCGUGGCAGGGGGAUAAGCGGGGGAAACCCCGUCUAAUACCGCGUAACGCGGCCUUGGGGCAUCCCAAGGCCGCCAAAGGGAGCAAUCCCGGCCACGGAUGGGCAUGCGGCGCAUUAGCUAGUCGGCGGGGUAACGGCCCACCGUGGCGACGAUGCGUAGGGGUUCUGAGAGGAAGGCCCCCCACACUGGAACUGAGACACGGUCCAGACUCCUACGGAAGGCAGCAG
rnacentral:rRNA from 1 species